UACAGAGACUGCAAGCGUUAUUCGGAUUCACUGGGCGUAAAGAGCACGCAGGCGGUUUGGCAAGUCGGAUGUGAAAGCCCGGAGCUCAACUCCGGACCUGCAUCCGAAACUGCCCGACUAGAGGUAGGUAGGGGAGAUCGGAAUUCCUGGUGUAGCGGUGAAAUGCGCAGAUAUCAGGAGGAACACCGGUGGCGAAGGCGGAUCUCUGGGCCUUACCUGACGCUCAGGUGCGAAAGCUAGGGGAGCGAACAGG
rnacentral:rRNA from 1 species